rnacentral:rRNA from 1 species
GUGGGGAAUAUUGCACAAUGGGCGCAAGCCUGAUGCAGCCAUGCCGCGUGUGUGAAGAAGGCCUUCGGGUUGUAAAGCACUUUCAGCGAGGAGGAAGGCGUUAAGGUUAAUAACCUUAGCGAUUGACGUUACUCGCAGAAGAAGCACCGGCUAACUCCGUGCCAGCAGCCGCGGUAAUACGGAGGGUGCAAGCGUUAAUCGGAAUUACUGGGCGUAAAGCGCACGCAGGCGGUUUGUUAAGUCAGAUGUGAAAUCCCCGAGCUUAACUUGGGAACUGCAUUU